GACGAACGCUGGCGGCGUGCUUAACACAUGCAAGUCGAACGGAAAGGCCUCAGCUUGCUGGGGUACUCGAGUGGCGAACGGGUGAGUAACACGUGGGUGAUCUGCCUUGCACUCUGGGAUAAGCUUGGGAAACUGGGUCUAAUACCGGAUAUGAACUGCCGUUAGUGUGGUGGUUGGAAAGUUUUUUCGGUGCAAGAUGAGCACGCGGCCUAUCAGCUUGUUGGUGGGGUAAUGGCCUACCAAGGCGUCGACGGGUAGCCGGCCUGAGAGGGUGUACGGCCACAUUGGGACUGAGGUACGGCCCAGACGCCGACGGGUGGCAGCAGUGGGGAAUAUUGCACAAUGGGCGGCAGCCUGAUGCAGCGACGCCGCGUGUUGGAUGACGGCCUUCGGGUUGUAAACGCCUUUCGACAGGGACGAAGCUUUUUGUGACGGUACCUGUAUAAGAAGCACCGGCUAACUACGUG
rnacentral:rRNA from 1 species